UACGUAGGGGGCUAGCGUUGUCCGGAAUCAUUGGGCGUAAAGCGCGUGUAGGCGGUCCGGUAAGUCCGCUGUGAAAGUCGGGGGCUCAACCCUCGAAUGCCGGUGGAUACUGUCGGGCUAGAGUGCGGAAGAGGCGAGUGGAAUUCCUGGUGUAGCGGUGAAAUGCGCAGAUAUCAGGAGGAACACCCGUAGCGAAGGCGGCACUCUGGGCCGGUACUGACGCUGAGGAGCGAAAGCGUGGGGAGCAAACAGG
rnacentral:rRNA from 1 species